rnacentral:rRNA from 1 species
AUUGAACGCUGGCGGCAGGCUUAACACAUGCAAGUCGAACGAGCGGCGGACGGGUGAGUCAUGCUUGGGAAUCUAGCAUAUGGAGGGGGAUAACUACGGGAAACUGUAGCUAAUACCGCGUACCAUAGGAUGAGCCCAAGGGGGAUGCGGUAGUUGGUAAGGUAAAGGCUGACCAAGACGACGACCUCUAGCUGGUCUGUGAGGAUGACCGUCCACGCGUGUACUGUGACAAGGCCCAGGCUCCUACGUGAGGCAGCAGUGGGGAAUAUUGCGAAGUGGGGGCAACCUGACGCAGCCAUGCCGCGUGAAUGAAGAAGGCCUUCGGGUUGUAGAGUUCUUUCGGUAGCGGGGCGUUAACUACAGAAGAAGCACCGGCUAACUCCGUGCCAGCAGCCGCGGUAAUAC